GGUUGAUCCUGCCAGUAGUCAUAUGCUUGUCUCAAAGAUUAAGCCAUGCAUGUCUAAGUAUAAACAUCUUUAUACAGUGAAACUGCGUACAGCUCAUUAUAUCAGUUAUUAUUUAUUUGAUGGUGCCUUACUACAUGGAUACCCGUAGUAAUUCUAGAGCUAAUACAUGCGUCAAAUCCCGACUCUUUGGAAGGGAUGUAUUUAUUAGAUUAAAAACCAAUGUCAAUGCAAAUUGACUUCUCUUGGUGAUUCAUAGUAACUUUACGGAUCGUACGACUUUAUGUUGACGACA
rnacentral:rRNA from 1 species